rnacentral:rRNA from 1 species
CGCAUAGGUGGUUAGGUAAGCGAGAUGUGAAAGCCCCGGGCUUAACCUGGGAACGGCAUUUCGAACUGUCUGACUAGAGUAUGGUAGAGGGUAGUGGAAUUUCCUGUGUAGCGGUGAAAUGCGUAGAUAUAGGAAGGAACACCAGUGGCGAAGGCGGCUACCUGGACCAAUACUGACACUGAGGUGCGAAAGCGUGGGGAGCAAACA